rnacentral:rRNA from 1 species
UACGUAGGGGGCAAGCGUUGUUCGGAAUUACUGGGCGUAAAGCGUGCGCAGGCGGUUUUGUAAGUCUGUCGUGAAAUCCCCGGGCUCAACCUGGGAAUUGCGAUGGAGACUGCAAGGCUAGAAUCUGGCAGAGGGGGGUAGAAUUCCACGUGUGAGCAGUGAAAUGCGUAGAGAUGUGGAGGAACACCGAUGGCGAAGGCAGCCCCUGGGUCAAGAUUGACGCUCCAUGCAGCGAAAGCGUG